rnacentral:rRNA from 1 species
GAAGCGGCAACAGCUCAAAUUUGAAAUCCUCCGCUCCUUCGGGGUCCGAAUUGUAAUUUGUAGAGAGUGCUUUCGGGCGAGACCACGGUCUAAGUCCAUUGGAACAUGGCGUCAUAGAGGGUGAGAAUCCCGUAUGCGACUGUGGAUCGAGCCCAUGUGAAGCCUCUUCGACGAGUCGAGUUGUUUGGGAAUGCAGCUCAAAAUGGGUGGUAAAUUUCAUCUAAAGCUAAAUACUGGCUGGAGACCGAUAGCGCACAAGUAGAGUGAUCGAAAGAUGAAAAGCACUUUGGAAAGAGAGUCAAACAGUACGUGAAAUUGUUGAAAGGGAAGCGCUUGCAACCAGACCUGCCCGUAGGUGAUCAGCCGCUGUUCUCAGUGGUGCACUCGCUCUGCGAUCAGGCCAGCAUCGGUUCGGGCGGUCGGAUAAAGGCCUUGGGAAUGUAGCUCCC